AGAGUUUGAUCCUGGCUCAGGAUGAACGCUGGCGGCAUGCCUAAUACAUGCAAGUCGAACGAAGUUUCGAGGAAGCUUGCUUCCAAAGAGACUUAGUGGCGAACGGGUGAGUAACACGUAGGUAACCUGCCCAUGUGUCCGGGAUAACUGCUGGAAACGGUAGCUAAAACCGGAUAGGUAUACAGAGCGCAUGCUCAGUAUAUUAAAGCGCCCAUCAAGGCGUGAACAUGGAUGGACCUGCGGCGCAUUAGCUAGUUGGUGAGGUAACGGCCCACCAAGGCGAUGAUGCGUAGCCGGCCUGAGAGGGUAAACGGCCACAUUGGGACUGAGACACGGCCCAAACUCCUACGGGAGGCAGCAGUAGGGAAUUUUCGUCAAUGGGGGGAACCCUGAACGAGCAAUGCCGCGUGAGUGAAGAAGGUCUUCGGAUCGUAAAGCUCUGUUGUAAGUGAAGAACGGAUCAUAGAGGAAAUGCUAUGGGAGUGACGGUAGCUUACCAGAAAGCCACGGCUAACUACGUGCCAGCAGCCGCGGUAAUACGUAGGUGGCAAGCGUUAUCCGGAAUCAUUGGGCGUAAAGGGUGCGUAGGUGGCGUACUAAGUCUGUAGUAAAAGGCAAUGGCUCAACCAUUGUAAGCUAUGGAAACUGGUAUGCUGGAGUGCAGAAGAGGGCGAUGGAAUUCCAUGUGUAGCGGUAAAAUGCGUAGAUAUAUGGAGGAACACCAGUGGCGAAGGCGGUCGCCUGGUCUGUAACUGACACUGAGGCACGAAAGCGUGGGGAGCAAAUAGGAUUAGAUACCCUAGUAGUCCACGCCGUAAACGAUGAGAACUAAGUGUUGGAGGAAUUCAGUGCUGCAGUUAACGCAAUAAGUUCUCCGCCUGGGGAGUAUGCACGCAAGUGUGAAACUCAAAGGAAUUGACGGGGGCCCGCACAAGCGGUGGAGUAUGUGGUUUAAUUCGAAGCAACGCGAAGAACCUUACCAGGCCUUGACAUGGAUGCAAAGGCUCUAGAGAUAGAGAGAUAAUUAUGGAUCACACAGGUGGUGCAUGGUUGUCGUCAGCUCGUGUCGUGAGAUGUUGGGUUAAGUCCC
rnacentral:rRNA from 1 species